GAUGAACGCUGGCGGCGUGCCUAAUACAUGCAAGUCGAGCGAACGGACGAGAAGCUUGCUUCUCUGAUGUUAGCGGCGGACGGGUGAGUAACACGCGGAUAACCUACCUAUAAGACUGGGAUAACUUCGGGAAACCGGAGCUAAUACCGGAUAAUAUUUUGAACCGCAUGGUUCAAAAGUAAAAGACGGUCUUGCUGUCACUUAUAGAUGGAUCCGCGCUGCAUUAGCUAGUUGGUAAGGUAACGGCUUACCAAGGCAACGAUGCAUAGCCGACCUGAGAGGGUGAUCGGCCACACUGGAACUGAGACACGGUCCAGACUCCUACGGGAGGCAGCAGUAGGGAAUCUUCCGCAAUGGGCGAAAGCCUGACGGAGCAACGCCGCGUGAGUGAUGAAGGUCUGCGGAUCGUAAAACUCUGUUAUUAGGGAAGAACAUAUGUGUAAGUAACUGUGCACAUCUUGACGGUACCUAAUCAGAAAGCCACGGCUAACUACGU
rnacentral:rRNA from 1 species